CAGCAGCCACGGGAAUACAGAGGGUGCGAGCGUUAAUCGGAUUUACUGGGCGUAAAGCGUGCGUAGGCGGCUUCUUAAGUCGGAUGUGAAAUCCCUGAGCUUAACUUAGGAAUUGCAUUCGAUACUGGGAAGCUAGAGUAUGGGAGAGGAUGGUAGAAUUCCAGGUGUAGAGGUGAAAUGCGUAGAGAUCUGGAGGAAUACCGAUGGCGAAGGCAGCCAUCUGGCCUAAUACUGACGCUGAGGUACGAAAGCAUGGGGAGCAAACAGGAUUAGAUACCCGCGUAGUCCCUGUCUCUUAUAA
rnacentral:rRNA from 1 species